UACGAAGGGGGCUAGCGUUGCUCGGAAUCACUGGGCGUAAAGCGCACGUAGGCGGACUCUUAAGUCGGUGGUGAAAUCCUGGAGCUCAACUCCAGAACUGCCUUCGAUACUGAGAGUCUCGAGUCCGGGAGAGGUGAGUGGAACUGCGAGUGUAGAGGUGAAAUUCGUAGAUAUUCGCAAGAACACCAGUGGCGAAGGCGGCUAUCUGGACGAACACUGACGCUGAGACACGAAAGCGUGGGGAGCAAACAGG
rnacentral:rRNA from 1 species